GGUGUUGGUGAUCAGUUACUCACUGAGGAGAAGCUAUGAAGCUAUGAAGCGGCUUAAAAGAAAGAUGAAAUAUGGAGCUCGCAGAGGAACUAAACAAACAGUGCCGAAGUCUGCCGUGAUAAAUGAGGGGUAUGGAGCAAGGGGCCAGACCUCUUCAGUAAUAACUCCCAGAGGAAUCUAAGUGACGGAACAAAGCAGGGCCUUGAUGGCUAGGGCAGAAAGGGCUGUAAAUCAGCCUGCGAUGCUUUCCACGGCAGGCUGAGAGAUGACUGCACAUUCAUAGGCCAUUCUUUAAUAUCGUCAAGGUUUCUAUUUUAUUUCCUUCUCUUCUACAGCGUCGAUUCCCCGAGGAGAAAGAGGCUCUCAAGACCUU
rnacentral:lncRNA from 1 species